rnacentral:misc_RNA from 1 species
UCUCCGUAGGUGAACCUGCGGAGGGAUCAUUACCGAGCGAGGGCCUCCGGCCCGACCUCCAACCCUUUGUGAUUACCACUUCGUUGCCUCGGGGGCGACCCGGCUCUCGCGGCCGGGGCCCCCGGUGGGCCAACCACAUCAACCUGCAUCCAUGCGUCGGUUUGAUUGAUAAAUCUGUCAAAACUUUCAACAACGGAUCUCUUGGUUCUGGCAUCGAUGAAGAACGCAGC